rnacentral:lncRNA from 1 species
UUUGUACAUGACCGCUAUAGCGCUACCCGCUAUACCGCAAUAGCAUUUUUGAGGUUCGGCGCUACACGCCGCUAUCCGAGAUUAACAACAUAGGGAUCAACAUUAUUUAGUAUGAAGAAUUGAUACAAGAGAAUUCAUGAAUUAUGUGGCAUGAAAUCAAGGGAGCUGUCCUUUAACUAUCUCUAAUGACUAAAAGUCAAUCUAUUAAAACUGGUGAUCUCAUUUGUAAAAGGACUCAACAAGAUAAUUCCCUUGUUGUUUAAGAUUAUAACAUUUGGCAACAUGACUGAGCUGGUACCAACAGUCAACUCAAAUGCAAAAAAGAAGACGCCAACUUAGUCAGAACCAACAUAACUGCAUCUGCAUGUAUAUCUUCUUUUUUGUUGUGAUAAUCGUUUGUGAAUUUUGAGGAGGAUUAGCUAUCCAGAUGACUUUAUAAGACCCUCCAACCAGAAACUAGAAAUACCACAGAAGACAUACAACAAAUGAUAGGUUUGUGUAUGAAUUAUGGAAUGGAAUGGAAUGGAAAUAGAGUUUGUAUUGAUGAGAAUAAGCAAAUACAAUAUGAAAACAGAAUGAAGAAAACAAAGUAACAAACUAGCAGAGAGAUUCUACUAGCCCCAAAGCACUAAGUGCCCCAAAUCACUAUGAAAGUGAUCCACACAAACUAACAAAAUACGUGAAUGAAUAUUCUCUUUCUACUAAGCACUAUAUAUAUAACCAAUUCCUUAUGCAGCACAUGCACUCCUCAUGCAUUCUUUGCCACCUCAUCGUUCCUUUCCCUCUCCUACUAUAACAAAAAUUAUUUUUUAAGUUCAUUGAAUAACUGAUGCAUAGGUCAGACACAUCAGUUACUCAAGGAAUCUAAAAAGUAAUUUUUUUCUUAUAAUAGGGACAUGAGGGAGUAGAUUAUAAAACCUAGUUAGAACAACAAUCACAUCUGAACAUCAAUAACCAACAAAGUAACAAACCACAGCAAUCCAAAUCCAUUCAUCUCUCAAUAUAAACCUAUCUACACCGACAAAUUCUUAUUGUGCAGAACCUUGCCCAGUCUAUACAAACAUUUCACCUAAAUUAUAGAAUUCCCUUGAAAUAUACCUUUCAAUGUUAUACCUAUAACUGAAGCAAUUCCACCUAAACACCAUGAUCCAAACAAAAAUUAGGGUAAAUAAAAAUUGGGGAUGGAGGAUGGUAAAUUAAUUCUAGGGUAAUAAGCAUUUCCCAUUAUUUCCCACAACGAAUCUCAAAAUCAACAAUGACCCAUAAAUCAAAAAUUAAAAAUUUACACAAACAAAUAAUAAAAAUCAAGCCUUGGUCAAAUCCCACCAUAAAAAAAAUCUAAAACAAAAAAUCCCAAAAUCAAAAAAUAUAACAAAUCAAGCCUUGCGAUUCAACGUGAAGCUGGAAUUAUGAAAUUCGAUUUCCACGCGAAAUGAAAAGAAGAAGAAAGAUAGAAAUUUACCUGAGAUCUGAUUUCCCCAAUUUAAUCAGGUGAAGAAAAAAUUGGUGGCAAAAUCGUGUAAUUGCGCGUAAAUUAUUUGCCCCUUUCCAAAACGGCGGCGUUGAAUAAUGAAAGAGAGAGAGAGAGAGAGAGAGAGAGAGAGAGAGAGAGAGAGAGAGAGAGAGAGAGAGUAGAGAUAGAGUGAGUCUAUAACUGCGUUUUCAUUUUUCGUUUUGUAGAAAAAAUAGAAUCGAUUAUAGAGAGAAUCGAUUUUAGAUCGUCGCUGUUAUACACCGCCAAACAACCCUCUUUCGCAAUCAAAGUGUAACCUGACUUUUUAUCUAGUUGACUAUUUUAACCCUU